GCGCUGGUAGCUCAGCUGGAUAGAGCAUCUGGCUACGAACCAGAAGGCCGGGGGUUCGACUCCCUCCCAGCGCACCA
rnacentral:tRNA from 1 species